UCCACGUUUAAUCUCGCGAGUUUAACACACGCGCUCACGUGACCCGCUGCAGCCAAUCACGCUCUAUAAAAUCCAGCAUUCCGAGAUGGCUGCCAGGUGCGGUGGCUAAGCCUGGGGACAUAUGAAGCCGGUGCCGAACAUCAGAGACGUGUUGUGACGAGAGAGUGUGUCGAUGAUAAGAUAUUAAGCCGAGUUGGCCAGGUCCCUAAGUCUUGGAUGGCGAGCUGUAGAUAGGCCUCGAGCCUGAGCCCAAGGAUCUCCACCUCUCAACCCCUGAACUCCACCUGCUCUGGUCGGGCCUGUAGGCGGCUUAUAGCCGAACCCCUUGCCUCGCACCUCAUUGCUCUGCGGCCCUUUGCACUACCUCAUACACACCCUGCCCAUAAACUGAACUCUCACUACAAACUGCCAUACCCACAACCCCAAACCGUGUGGCUGUAUGAACUCUGAAUGCGCAUAUGGACUGCGAUCAGUCUCGUAUGACCUUUUAAGAACUUUUGAUACUACCUGUUAUGAAUUACCUGAACCCUUGCUGUUUUUUUCUUUUGUUUUGAAUGGCCAUUCCUAUCAAUGUAUGUCCACUAUUUGUUGCACUGUACAUAUUUAAAUAACACCAGUAUAAUUUAAAGCAUUUAAUUGUGUCUGUCCUACUCUCUCCGAGUCGUAAUCUAGACUUCUGAUUAGCCCAAAUAUUGAGAACGUCUACUAUAAUAGCUAACGUACCUGUUACACAUGCGCGAGGCUAUUUAUAGCACCGCUGCCAAGCACGAGGCACCAGUUGCCAUUGUUUCCAAACGAGCGAACGAUCAUGGAAUCAGCCGGAGAAAAAUCGCAUACGAGUCUUAAACCGAAAAGAAAACUGCAGUCAUUCCGUGAAGAAUAUUCAAAAGCCUAUCCGGGAAUAAUUAUCCGUUCCAAAAAGGGUGAAAACUCCGCGAAUUGCACCUUGUGCAGACAAGAUUUUUCGAUCGGACACGGAGGAAUUAGCGAUGUAAAAGACCACGUUGGGACAAAAAAACACAAGUCUAAUGC